rnacentral:rRNA from 1 species
UACAGAGGGUGCAAGCGUUAAUCGGAAUUACUGGGCGUAAAGCGCGCGUAGGUGGUUUGUUAAGUUGGAUGUGAAAUCCCCGGGCUCAACCUGGGAACUGCAUCCAAAACUGGCAAGCUAGAGUAUGGUAGAGGGUGGUGGAAUUUCCUGUGUAGCGGUGAAAUGCGUAGAUAUAGGAAGGAACACCAGUGGCGAAGGCGACCACCUGGACUGAUGACUGACACUGAGGCACGAAAGCGUGGGGAGCAAACAGG